GUCUAUGGCCAUACCGCCCUGAACGCACCCGAUCUCGUCUGAUCUCAGAAGCUAAGCAGGGUUGGACCUGAUUAGUACUUGGAUGGAAGAAGCUUAUAUUCAUAAUUC
rnacentral:rRNA from 1 species